UACGAAGGGGGCUAGCGUUUGUUCGGAAUUACUGGGCGUAAAGCGCGCGCAGGCGGCCAUUCAAGUCAGGGGGUGAAAGCCCAGAGCUCAACUCUGGAACUGCCCUUGAAACUGUAUGGCUUGAGUAUGAGAGAGGUGAGUGGAAUUCCCAGUGUAGAGGUGAAAAUUCGUAGAUAUUGGGGAAGAACACCGGUGGCGAAGGCGGCUCACUGGUCUCAUUACUGACGCUCAGGCGCGACAGCGUGGGGGA
rnacentral:rRNA from 1 species